rnacentral:sRNA from 1 species
CCCAGUUCGUUAGUAAAGAAAGGAUAGGGACUGAAUCGAUGAGGACAGCGCGCAUUUUCAGUCAACAUUAGGUAUGAAUCUUAUACUUCUCCAUUAUUUUGCCUCAUUUUGAAUCCUUCGUUUCGGUUCGGUAAAGAGAUGUCUAAUUCUCUUCCCGCCUUGGUAUAAUUAGUAUGGGUAAAAUUGGAGAGAAAAUUAAACAAGUUUUCUUGCACCAAUGUGAUGAUGGAUUUUCCAUGUGAAGAUUGCUAAUCUAAUUCGUCCCCAAAUUUCUUUAACCAUUGCUUUUGUGGGCUUGGAUAGGAAGGCUAAACCAAAUAGUAAGCAAGCAAUGGAUACGUACGGCGCUUAGCUUUGUUCCAUGCAUGAGCCGCUGCCAUUUUAGUAUGUAGUAAUACUAGAUUAUCCGACCGUCGCAUCACCGAGGAGGGAACCGGACGGACAUAGAUAGAUAGGCAAGCAAAAAUGACUGACAUGCCUAUCUAUAUAUAUGUAAUAUCGAGAGAGAAAUAGAGAGGGGGGGGGGAUGUGACCGAAAGAAGAAGAA